CGAGAAUCCCGCUUCGGCGGGAAAGUAGAGUGGCAGACGGGUGAGUAAUGCAUAGGUAAUCUACCCUCGAGUGGGGGAUAACCUACCGAAAGGUGGGCUAAUCCCGCAUAAUAUUCCGACAUGCAAGUAUCGGGAUCAAAGGGGGGGACUCCAGUUCGCUGGAACCCCUCGCUUGUGGAGGAGCCUAUGUCCUAUUAGCUUGUUGGUAGGGUAAAAGCCUACCAAGGCGAUGAUGGGUAGCCGGGCUGAGAGGCUGUCCGGCCACACUGGAACUGAAACACGGUCCAGACUCCUACGGGAGGCAGCAGUGGGGAAUUUUGCGCAAUGGGCGAAAGCCUGACGCAGCGACGCCGUGUGAGGGAUGACAGUCUUCGUGAUUGUAAACCUCUGUCAGGAAGGAUUAAAUGUAUAGGUGUUAAUACCACCUAUACUUGACUUAACUUCCAGAGGAAGCCCCGGCUAACUACGUGCCAGCAGCCGCGGUAAUACGUAGGGGGUAAGCGUUACUCGGAUUUACUGGGCGUAAAGCGAAUGUAGGCGGUCAUAUAAGUCAGAGGUGAAAGCCCUCAGCUCAACUGAGGAAUUGCCUUUGAUACUGUGUGACUAGAGGACAGGAGAGGAAAGCGGAAUUCCCGGUGUAGCGGUGGAAUGCGUAGAUAUCGGGAGGAACACCUGAGGCGAAGGCGGUUUUCUGGACUGUUCCUGACGCUGAGAUUCGAAAGCUAGGGGAGCAAACAGGAUUAGAUACCCUGGUAGUCCUAGCCGUAAACGAUGGAUACUAGAUCUUGCAUGAUUUUGCUU
rnacentral:rRNA from 1 species